rnacentral:rRNA from 1 species
UGCCCUUGACAUACUUGUCGCACUUACCAGAGAUGGUUUGUUUCAGUUAGGCUGGACAAUGUAC